rnacentral:rRNA from 1 species
AACGAACGCUGGCGGCAUGCCCAACACAUGCAAGUCGAACGAGAUCUUCGGGUCUAGUGGCGCGCGGGUGCGUAACGCGUGGGAAUCUGCCCUUUGGUUCGGAAUAACAGUUGGAAACGACUGCUAAUACCGGAUGAUGACGAAAGUCCAAAGAUUUAUCGCCAGAGGAUGAGCCCGCGUAGGAUUAGCUAGUUGGUGUGGUAAAGGCUCACCAAGGCGACGAUCCUUAGCUGGUCUGAGAGGAUGAUCAGCCACACUGGGACUGAGACACGGCCCAGACUCCUACGGGGGGCAGCAGUGGGGAAUAUUGGACAAUGGGCGAAAGCCUGAUCCAGCAAUGCCGCGUGAGUGAUGAAGGCCUUAGGGUUGUAAAGCUCUUUUACCCGGGAUGAUAAUGACAGUACCGGGAGAAUAAGCUCCGGCUAACUCCGUGCCAGCCGCCGCGGUAA